rnacentral:rRNA from 1 species
ACNANAGUACUAUGAAUGAUAUAGAAUUUAAAACUCAAAGAACUUGGCGGUGUUUUAGACCAUUUAGGGGAACCUGUCUCGUAAUCGACAGUCCACGUUACACCUGACCUUUUUUUGUUUCCAGUUUGUAUACCGUUGUCGUCAGGUAACUUUUUAGAAAGUAGAAGUUGGCUAUAUAAAUAUAAUGGUUUAGUACGUCAAAUCAAGGUGCAGCUAAUAAAAGGGGGAGGAUGGGUUACAAUUAUGGAAUCAUAAUGACGGAUAUUUAUAUGAAAGUGUAAAUUAUGAAGGCGGACUUAAAAGUAAAUUGGAUUAUGCAAACAAGUUUGAAUGCGGCUCUGAAACGUGU